ncrna:Roseburia inulinivorans DSM 16841 dinG RNA
AAUGCUACUUCCACGCCAGUGGCCCGCAUAAGUGACGGGAAAAUGCACACCCACGUUUGAGAAAGAAUGUGGGCGGCUUUUU